rnacentral:rRNA from 1 species
GGUGAAAAGCCCGCUCGCCGGAAGACCAAGGGUUCCUGUCCAACGUUAAUCGGGGCAGGGUGAGUCGACCCCUAAGGCGAGGCCGAAAGGCGUAGUCGAUGGGAAACGGGUUAAUAUUCCCGUACUUGGUGUUACUGCGAAGGGGGGACGGAGAAGGCUAUGUUGGCCGGGCGACGGUUGUCCCGGUUUAAGCGUGUAGGUGUGUGUUCCAGGUAAAUCCGGUUCACUUUAACACUGAGGCGUGAUGACGAGGCACUACGGUGCUGAAGCAACAAAUGCCCUGCUUCCAGGAAAAGCCUCUAAGCAUCAGGUAACAUCAAAUCGUACCCCAAACCGACACAGGUGGUCAGGUAGAGAAUACCAAGGCGCUUGAGAGAACUCGGGUGAAGGAACUAGGCAAAAUGGUGCCGUAACUUCGGGAGAAGGCACGCUGACAC